rnacentral:rRNA from 1 species
UACGAAGGGGGCUAGCGUUGCUCGGAAUCACUGGGCGUAAAGGGUGCGUAGACGGGUCUUUAAGUCAGGGGUGAAAUCCUGGAGCUCAACUCCAGAACUGCCUUUGAUACUGAAGAUCUUGAGUUCGGGAGAGGUGAGUGGAACUGCGAGUGUAGAGGUGAAAUUCGUAGAUAUUCGCAAGAACACCAGUGGCGAAGGCGGCUCACUGGCCCGAUACUGACGCUGAGACGCGAAAGCGUGGGGAGCGAACAGG